rnacentral:rRNA from 1 species
CCUACGGGGGGCUGCAGUAAGGAAUAUUGGACAAUGCCCGCAAGGGUGAUCCAGCCAUGCCGCGUGCAGGAAGACGGACCUAUGGUUUGUAAACUGCUUUUGAACAAGAGAAAACCCCCUUACGUGUAAGGGGCUGAUAGUAUUGUUAGAAUAAGCAUCGGCUAACUUCGUGCCAGCAGCCGCGGUAAGACGAAGGAUGCCGGCGUUAUCCGGAUUCAUUGGGGUUAAAGGGGGUGUAGACGGCUUGGUAGAAAUCUUGUCGCUUAACGAGAAAACUGCCAUUGAUACUGUCAAGCUUGAGUACAGUUGCCGUUGGCGGAAUAUGACAUGUAGUGGUGAAAUACAUAGAGAUGUCAUAGAACACCGAUUGCGAAGGCAGCUAACGAAACUGUAACUGACGCUGAGGCUCGAAAGUGCGGGGAUCAAACAGGAUUAGAUACCCUUGUAGUC